GGUAAGUUGAUAUCCCUCUAGUGGUGUGGGGGCAGUCCUUUGGCAAAGUGGGUGGGGUUAUAUCCUUCCUGUUUGGCCCUGUCCGGGGGUGUCAUCGGAUGGGGCCACAGUGUCUCCUGACCCCUCCUGUCUCAGCCUCCAGUAUUUAUGCUGCAGUAGUUUAUGUGUCGGGGGGCUAGGGUCAGUUUGUUAUAUCUGGAGUACUUCUCCUGUCCUAUCCGGUGUCCUGUGUGAAUUUUAAGUAUGCUCUCUCUAAUUUUCUCUUUCUCUCUUUCUUUCUCUCUCUCGGAGGACCUGAGCCCUCGGACCAUGCCUCAGGACUACCUGACAUGAUGACUCCUUGCUGUCCCCAGUCCACCUGGCCGUGCUGCUGCUCCAGUUUCAACUGUUCUGCCUGACACAGGGUUCUUCCUGUUGGGGCUCUUCCCAGGAAUGAUCAGAGACUGGGGAGGAGUGGCUAGGCACUGCUGCGACACCUACUGGGAUUUUCC
ensembl:lncRNA